GACGUCACUGGUCAUAUGUUGUGCUUCAACAGACUCACUUCUUCAAAUACCACUGUGCUGUCAAAACCACUAUCCCAGAGUACAGAAUUAUAAAGCUUGUCAAAGACUUUCUUAUCAACAUGAAAACAAUUCAUGGCGACUCAUGUUUCGUAGAA